rnacentral:rRNA from 1 species
AACGUAGGUGGCGAGCGUUAUCCGGAUUACUGGGCGUAAAGGGUGUGCAGGCUGCCCCUCAAGUGGUGUAUGAAAGCACCCGGCUCAACCGGGUCAUGGUAUGCCAGACUGAAGGGCUAGAGAGCGAGAGCGGGACGUGGAAUUCCGGGUGUAGUGGUGAAUGCGUAGAGAUCGGAGGAACCCCAGAGGCGAAGGCGGCGUCCUGGCUCGGCAUCUGACGCUCAGACACGACAGCAUGGGGGAGCGAACGGG